AUGCUACUUGGAUACACAGUUUGGGGUUGUCAUGGUGAAACUGCAGGAUACAUCUCCUCUAACAAACGAAAAAGGUCAAAACAGGAAGGCAUAAACUCUAAUAUGCGCCAGCUAGUCCAUGAUGUUUUCGGGAACAUAGAUAAUGGGUCUCAAGUGAAUGACUUCGAUGACCCAAACCCUCCAGAACAUGGACCAGAUCCUGAAACCCAAGCUUUUUAUGACUUGUUGAGAGAUGCAGAUGUACCUUUGUGGAACGGGUGUCAACUAUCAGAACUUUCUUUCCUUGUGCUUCUGUUCAACAUAAAAUUCACUAACAAGUGGAGUAAUAAAUCUAUAAAUGAUUUGCUAGCAGUUCUGCAGCAAGCAAUUCCAAAUGGUAAGAAUUUACCUGGAACUUUUGCUGAGGCCAAGAAGAUCAUUGGAAAGCUUGGGCUUAGUUAUGAGAGAAUUCAUGUUUGUGAAAAAGAUUGUCAGCUUUUUUGGAAAGAGAAGGCUAAUGAUGACUUUUGCUCGGUAUGUGGAGCAUCAAGGUGCAAAAACAAACCUGGUAAACCAUGCUAA
rnacentral:rRNA from 1 species